CCACCCCUCCGCCAGCUUCCAGUCUCCAGGGGCUCACUUGAGGCUUCUCUUGUCAGUUAUUUCAGAAGAACCGAGGACUUAGAUAGCCUUGGAGAGUUCCAACAUGGUAGCCGCUCUACCUUGGGCCAUCCCUUCUGUGCCUAGCACCCCUUGCAUAGUCACAGAAGGCCAAUUUAAGGCCUUUGUCUGCCACCUGGUCCAGACUCUCCCGAGAGUGAACCCGUCAGGUUCUCCGCCCGAUCCACCACACCCUGUUGCUCUCCCGCUUCACAGAUGAGAAAACUGAGGUCUGAAAGGAAGGCUACAGUGCAAAAUCCUUGGCAGGCUGUCACUAAGCCUGUCUAGCACAACACCCAUUCAUGUACGCUCUGCCUUUCCUGCAGGACUAACAGGUUGGUCCUGCUUCUGUCCACCAGCCUUCCCAUAGGCACUGAUCAGGCCAACAGAAAGGACCGUAGAAGCCCAGGCGGCACCAACCGUAUGCCAGUCACAAGUCUGUGCCUGUUCCUUCCUAUUCUGGACUUCUCCACACUUUCUUCUGAGCUGGGCCAAAGUGGAAUCAAUGGUCAUGGUGCUACAAUCUUAGGGCCAGUAGGGGUCACACAUGCCCUAUUCCCCCCACCCCCACCCCUUCUUUGCACACAGCCUAAAACAGCAAUCUCACCAUUUCACCUGUGGCCCUUUCUACCUAGACAGCUCAGGAUCCUCAGAGACCAGACCACCACCGUGGUUUUAUUAUAGUGAGCACAGUCUGUCUUUCUCUGUUCCUUACACCACCAACCUUCCCAUAGCCACUGAACAAUGACCUUUCGUCUCACUCACUGUUCCAACCUGAAAACAAAUGAAAGCCCCAACUAAUUUGAAGCCAGACGUUCUGUUUAAAGAAGUGAUCCACAGAUUUUACUUUGUCCACACAACAGUUGUAUGGGGGAGGGGUUCAUUGUACCCAUUUCAAAGAGGAGAACACUAAGUCUCAGGGAGGUUUGGUGACUUGCCUAAGGUUACAUAACCAAUGAUCAUAAGAGUUAGGAUAAUAUAUAAACCCAGGCUGGUUUGGGUCCAAAGCCUGUUUUCUUAACCACUGAGCAAGACAGCCCUGCUCCCAACUUGAAGCAAAUCUGGUCCACAGGAAAUUGCUGCUAGCUGAAGCCCUCAGAAGUAGAAAGGAUUCUCCAAGGUCAGGGCCCUGCCUUGGAGACAGAAGUCAGGGCCCUUUUGAGACUUCACCAUAGAAUCUGAGUAUCGGGAGGAUAUUAGGAUCCAUAGCCUGGGUGGGUAGAGUGGCUGGCACUUGCCUUUAAUCCCAGCUCGUAGGCAGCAGAGACAGGAAGAUCUCUAUGAGUUCAAGGACAGCUUCAACAUUGGAAGUUCUAGGCUGGCCAAGACUAUAUGGUAAGGUCCUAUUCAAAAACAACAACAACAACAACCCAAAAGGAAAUUCUUGCAGAGAAAAACCCCAGUUUGGUCUUGUCACUAGUGCUGUUGAGACAGAGUAUGUGUUGCCCCCUCUGCCUCAGGCCUGCCUCUAUGGGUCCAGCACCCCUAGAAUACCCGCAGAUGGCCUGGGAAGUUACCGAGUUCUAGCCUCUACCUCCCUCGGCUGCCCUCCCUGCCCAUCCUUACCCCCCUACUCCUACCCUCCCCCCACCAGCCUCAUCUAGGGCUGGUGCCAUAGCAACUGAGAGCACCAGGCCCUGGCAGCCAAGGAGCCCCUGAGAGGGGUCCCGGGCUGUGGCUGGGAGGAGUGCAGCAGGCGCAAACAAGCAAACCUUCUGUUUCUCUGGCUGCUACCAUCGGGAUCAGCCGUGGGCUGGGGGGCCUCACGGAGAAUGUGUUCUCCGAGCCAAGUGGGCAGGGGGCAGGCAGGCCUCGAAUCCCAAGCCUGGAAGACCAGCACACGGCCUUCCCCCACCAGCCCAUAGCCCACAGAUCAGGCAGGAACUGCUGGCGAAGGAGAAACCCCGCCACUGAUCCGUGCCAAUUAUAGAACAUUGAGAUUCUCCUCAGAGCCCUCCUGGGCACUGAAUAGGGAGGGAAAAUGUCCACGUUUCCUUCCCCCUCGCCCUCAGACACAUUCAGCAUCUCUCCCUUAUCCCUUCCUGCUUCACCCUGCUCUGUUAACUUGCCUUCUUCGUGUCUCAUUCCCCAGGCCUUAAAACAGGCUAUAAACCAGGCCUUUACACUCAGACACUGGGGCUGGGGCUGAAGUUCACACAAGCAGAUACUUGGAGGAGGGCCUAGUACCCCCAUGUGAAAUCAGAGAGCACCUUCUUCGUCCCUCUCCACCCACAGGAGAAGUCAUUCAUUCAGCCAGUCUGAGGUGCAGAGCUGAGACCUAGACAAGCUUGCUCAAGAGAAGAGAGGCAGGUGAUACAGAAGAUGGCUGAGGAAGGUCCAGAGAAGGGCUAUGUGGGAAGUGGGAGCCACCCAUAGUAUGAGAUCGCAGCAGCUCCACUCCACUGUGCUACCCUGAGGUUCAGUGAGAAGUGUUGUUAGCCACCCACGGAAAAGCUAAAUCUGAUAGGUAUCUCCCUGUCCAUGGCUAUCAGCUAAGCCUUCUCUAGACCUCAGCUUGAGUUUCCACAAAUCACGGGACAAACCUAAUGGUUAUUUGGGAUCUCUCCAAAUUCCCAGUGUAAGACUGAGCCUAUGGUCAGUGCCCCGCUGAUGCUUACACAGCACAGGACAGAGUGAGUGACUAUGCAGAGUGAGAUCUUCUCUUCCUCAGGCCUUGUCCUCAGCUAUUACCUAGUGGCAGUAUUUUCUAGGGUGGAAACUGGAUUGGGCAGACAAGGGUGACUCUUUUCCUCUUGGUGAUAAGACAGGCAGCUGUUGGGAGCAGAACAGACAGACCAGAUGCAUGGUAUCCUGAAGCCAGUGAGCUAUCCCUGAUGCUACCCAGGGCAAGGAGGUGGCACGGGAGCUCAGGCCACCUGGGAGAGCUUUUCCAUCAUAAAACCACUUUGUCCACACCAAAUCUCAGUCCUCCUACCUGGCCGCUCUGUGGCAGCUCUGAGGUUAGCCUGUCUCUGUGUUUCCAGAUGAGAGCCUUCUGCUACGCCAGUUCAAGGUGAUGAAGAGCCUAUGACUUACUCCACUGAUCAGUAAACAGUAGCCAUUAUGAUUCUGUGAGGUUCGGCCUCUGGGGUUUAGUUGGGUUCUACGACCGAUGACUCCAGGGCAGGUAUUCUGUUUGAGUGACCUUUGGAAAGUGAGGCGGCAUCUGGGGUGAAGGGCAGUAUCAGGUCUGAUCGACUAGAGCUGAAGUGGGUCAGCCAAGUGAUAGGUGACAGGCAGCGGAGGAAGAGAUGGCCUGGGGCACUGGGUGAGCAUUUGGGCUUUGCCUUGGACAUAUCAACGAAUCGUUUUUUUCUGGGGUUUAACAGUAAUGGCGGAUGGCUAGCUACUGAAGGUAAGAGUGUCAUAAUGGCCAGCCCGGGUGGGGAUGGGGUGUGUUGGAGAGUGGCACAAGCAGGUAUUUCAUGGGAGAUUGUGAGUUGGCAUAAGGGCAGAGUCAGAGUCCAGUUUCCAGGAUGAGGUCAUUCCAAACCCAGCUGGAAGCCCCCAGGAGAAGCAGAGGAAAGAGGGCUGCUGAUAACCCCACACUGCCAUGCUGUUGUCUGAAGCGCCCGCCAGACAGCCUCCCUCCUAGAUCGGGACCAGACAUGGGGGUCUUGAAGCAUCAAGGCCUGAUGCUACACUGUCUGCUGGGGAUGAUGGAAUCCAGAAGGGAGCUCUGCAGGAGGAGGGAGAUCGGCCUGAAGAUGAUGCCAGGGCCAUAAGGCACAGCCUUUGGGUUUACUUGCACCUCAGCCUGAACGCUCGCUCUGCUGUGCGAGCCUAGAGCCUCCGUUUCCUCGUCUGUAAACAGGGGUAGCAAAACUGGCCCUGAAGCCUCGCUGUAAGGAAUACAAAGUAGACGUGCAACAGGCUCACCCGUGACGGUGACUCUGUGACUGCCUCUCCCUGGAGACAGGGAGAGGACUGAUCACUUUAGAAAGAUCUGUUGGAGGCUUCUGGGAAUCCUUCCUCCUGUACACCACAUUCCCAUUGCCAACCUGGGGCUGGGCACACUAUAGCGGGCAGGGGUGGGUGGGGCACAAGGCAGCAAGAGCCUGGUCCACACGGGCUGUGCUGUGCAAACAGAGGCAGAGAGGCCAGGUGGUAUCGUGCUAUUGGGAAAGGCACGGCAGGCACCCGAAGACUGGAGGAACCAGGGAGGGCUGCCUGGAAGAGAUAUGGUUAGCGGGUCCAGGAGAGGGAAGGGAUGAGGAAGAGCAUUCCAAGGGGGGUGGGGGGGAGGGCAAAAGCCCCAAGGCAGGGUGGUGUAAAUUCCUUUCACAAAUGCUGGAAUCUAACCAUCUGGAAGUAAGAAACCAGGCUGGAACCUAAGACCCAGGUCUGUCUGGGGCUGGGGGUGGAGGAAGCUUACAGUUACUUCAGCCCCGCUACUGGGCUGUGGCUACAGUUAGGUGUCUGUCACAUGAACAUAGAGGAAGAAAUCAUCCCUGCUUCAGGAAGCAGGUGAGCAUCACAGGGGACAUUCAGAGUGCCGGGUUCCGGUCCUUCUGCAGGGAGGAGGUGGGGCUUCCCAGACUAUAGACACUGGGAAGAAACAGAGGGAUCUGAGCAAGAGGGAAGUGUCAUCAGACUCAGUUCAGAUUUGAGGUUAGAGUGGAGCAGGAGUGCCAAGGGAGAGAACAAAUAGAGAAACGGACUGUGAGAGAGGGAGACGGCCCAGCUACAAUCUCUCUCCACAGAGGAGCCCCCAGAUCUGACAGCCCAGAACUAGACCCCACCCCAGACACAUGACCACUAGGCGGGUUUGUAAACUUCCCUCCAUCCAGAACUUUGAGACCCAGAAUUUUCUCAGUGGCUAAGGGUUUGGAAGGACGUCUUAGGAAUCUGGAAAAUUUGCAAAUCCAUUUAAAAUCUCCAAAGUCUGCCUGGCGGUUGA
rnacentral:sRNA from 1 species